rnacentral:rRNA from 1 species
GAACCGGCGAGUUACGAUUUGAUGCAAGGUUAAGCAGUAAAUGUGGAGCCGUAGCGAAAGCGAGUCUGAAUAGGGCGUUUAGUAUUUGGUCGUAGACCCGAAACCAGGUGAUCUACCCUUGGUCAGGUUGAAGUUCAGGUAACACUGAAUGGAGGACCGAACCGACUUACGUUGAAAAGUGAGCGGAUGAACUGAGGGUAGCGGAGAAAUUCCAAUCGAACCUGGAGAUAGCUGGUUCUCUCCGAAAUAGCUUUAGGGCUAGCCUCAAGUGAUGAUUAUUGGAGGUAGAGCACUGUUUGGACGAGGGGCCCCUCUCGGGUUACCGAAUUCAGACAAACUCCGAAUGCCAAUUAAUUUAACUUGGGAGUCAGAACAUGGGUGAUAAGGUCCGUGUUCGAAAGGGAAACAGCCCAGACCACCAGCUAAGGUCCCAAAAUAUAU